rnacentral:rRNA from 1 species
AUGCGAUGCUACUUGAUGCUGGAGCCCAGGAGCCAGACGCCACUGUCGACGACGACUCCUACUACACCAGAGGUGCCUACUACUACGUUCAGGCCGCUGACGACGACCAGGAGUAGUUUAGGAGGAUCCCAGGCAGGAGGCCUGCGCCUCUUUCGAUCUGUAUCCCAGUUUGUGCUAGCCUUCUUAAGGCAAACUUGUUUAACUUAUGUCUGUACUCAGAUAUUGUUGCUUCCGCUGACUUGCCUAUGA